UUGUAUAGAUGAGCAACCAAAGUGGUUUCUUGAGAUGGAAUCCACUCCUGGUGAAGAUGCUGUGAA
rnacentral:pre_miRNA from 1 species